UCGGUGCCGCUGCUAACGCAUUAAAUACUCCACCUGGUAACUACGCUCUCAAGUGUGUAUCUCAACAGAAUUGACGGGCCCCCGCACAAGUAACGGAGCAUGUGGUUUAAUUCGAAGCAACGCGAAGAACCUUACCUAAGCUUGACAUCCCAAUGACAUCUCCUUAAUCGGAGAGUUCCCUUCGGGGACAUUGGUGACAGGUGGUGCAUGGUUGUCGUCAGCUCGUGUCGUGAGAUGUUGGGUGAAGUCCCGAAACGAGCGCAACACUUGUGUAUAGUUGCCAUCAUUAAGUUGGGCGCUCUAGAUGGACGGUCAGUGAUAACAUGGAGGAAGGUGGGGAUUACGUCAAAUCAGCAUGCCCCUUAUGCCUAGGGCUACACACGGGAUACAAUGGGUAGUACAGUGGGUUGCCAAGCCGUAAGGUGGAGCUAAUCCCUUAAAGCUACUCUUAGUUCGGAUUGUAGGCUGAAACUCGCCUACAUGAAGCUGGAGUUACUAGUAAUCGCAGAUCAGAAUGCUGCGGUGAAUGCGUUCCCGGGUCUUGUACACAC
rnacentral:rRNA from 1 species